UUUAACAUUGGCUGAAACAAGGUUUUUAUAAUUUUUACUUUUGAGAAAUAAACCUAGGUUACUUUUUAAGCAUUAAUUUUUAUAAUUUUUUUAUGGAGGUAUCAUUUGCAUAAAAUGCAUGGACCUUACAUGUUUCAUUCAACAAAUUUGGUAAAAGAAGAUCUAGAACACUUUCAGCACUGAAAACUUUUCCUCUUGCUUCUUUCCAGAUAAUACCCUUCAAACAUCCAGAGUUAAGUAUUGUUCGGAUUUCCGUCAUCACAGGUUUUAUGGAGGUGAGCCAAGAAAGCUGGCAGAAAGCACAAAGAAGGAAAUGCCAAGGAGGUGCAAAGCCUGCAGAAAGCAAUCAUUCUAACCAAGUGAAAAGACAUUGCAAAAUGGAGAUGAACUGAAACAAGAACUAUUGUAUUUGCAAGGAGAAUGCAGAGGAGACCUGGAUAGCCCAAAACUUGCUAGCAGACUAUUUUUCAGUGAUCUCUGCCCCCAACGUGGAGCUUGAACUCACAACCCUGAGAUCAAGAGUUGCGUGCUCUACUGACUGAGCCAGGCAGGUGCCCCUUAACCAGCUUAUUUCACUUGGCAUGAUGUUCUCAAGGCUUUUCCGUGUCAUAGCCUAUGCCAGUGUUUGCUUCUUUUUUAGAGCUAAAUAAUAUUACGUUGUGUGUGUAUAUAUAUGUGUAUAUAAUUUUUAAAAUUCUUUCAUCUCACUGAAAGUUUUUGGAUGAUAAGCUUUUUUAAAAUUUUAUUUACUUAUUCAUGAGAGAGAGAGAGAGGCAGAGACACAGA